rnacentral:rRNA from 1 species
UGAGGAAUAUUGGGCAAUGCCCGCAAGGGUGACCCAGCAACGCCGCGUGGAGGAUGAAUGUCGUAAGAUUGUAAACUCCUGUUAGAGGGGAAGAAUAGUACCGGUUGGACCGGUAUAUGACUGUACCCUCAGAGAAAGCCCCGGCUAACUACGUGCCAGCAGCCGCGGUAAUACGUAGGGGGCAAGCGUUGUCCGGAUUUACUGGGUGUAAAGGGUGCUCAGGCGGAUUUGUAAGUCAGAGGUGAAAUCUUACAGCUUAACUGUGAAACUGCCUUUGAUACUGCAAGCCUAGAGUAUGGAAGAGAGUGAUGGAAUAUCUGGUGUAGCAGUGAAAUGCGUAGAUAUCAGAUAGAACACCAAUGGCGAAGGCAGUCACUUGGUCCAUUACUGACGCUAAAGCACGAAAGCGUGGGUAGCAAACA